AGUGGAAUGGCUGAGUAAGCUUUAGACUGUAAAUCCAAAGACAGAGGUUAAGCCCUCUUUUUGCCA
rnacentral:tRNA from 1 species